rnacentral:rRNA from 1 species
AAUCAACGCUGGCGGCGUGCCUAACACAUGCAAGUCGAACGCGAGAGGGGCUUCGGCCCCAAUUGAGUGGCGAACGGGUGAGUAACACGUGGGUGAUCUACCUUUGAGUGGGGGAUAACGUUCCGAAAGGAACGCUAAUACCGCAUGACGUUCCGGGUUUGAAGACCUGGAAACCAAAGCCGGGGCCCUUAGGGAAACUUAAGGCCUGGCGCUUGGAGAGGAGCCCGCGCCUGAUUAGCUAGUUGGUGGGGUAACGGCNCACCAAGGCGACGAUCAGUAGCCGGCCUGAGAGGGCGGACGGCCACACUGGGACUGAGACACGGCCCAGACUCCUACGGGAGGCAGCAGUGGGGAAUUGUUCGCAAUGGGCGCAAGCCUGACGACGCAACGCCGCGUGGAGGAUGAAGGUCUUCGGAUUGUAAACUCCUGUUGACCGGGACGAAUGGGCUCCGACCAAAUACGUCGGGGCAUUGACGGUACCGGUUGAGGAAGCCACGGCUAACUCUGUGCCAGCCGCCGCCGUAAC